CAGGCGCGAAAACUUUGCAAUACACGAAAGUGUGACAGGGUCAUCCCGAGUGCCGACCGCUGAGGUUGGCUUUUACCCAGUCUAGAAAGCUGGGGGAAUAAGGAGAGGGCAAGUCUGGUGUCAGCCGCCGCGGUAAUACCAGCUCUCCGAGUGGUGUGGACGUUUAUUGGGCCUAAAGCAUCCGUAGCUGGCUGAACAAGUCCCCUGUUAAACCCACCGAUUUAAUCGUUGGUCUGCGGGGGAUACUGCUCGGCUAGGGGACGAGAGAGGCAGACGGUAUUCCCGAGGUAGGGGUGAAAUCCUAUAAUCCCGAGAAGACCACCAGUGGCGAAGGCUGUCUGCUAGAACGCGCCCGACGGUGAGGGAUGAAAGCUGGGGGAGCGAACCGGAUUAGAUACCCGGGUAGUCCCAGCUGUAAACGAUGCAGACUAGGUGUUUGGACGGCCACGUGCCGUUCUAGUGCCGCAGGGAAGCUGUUAAGUCUGCCGCCUGGGGAGUACGAUCGCAAGAUUGAAACUUAAAGGAAUUGGCGGGGGAGCAC
rnacentral:rRNA from 1 species